ACCUACAGAUUUGACAGUGAAGUGCUUCUUGAAGUGCUUCUCAAAGUGCUUUCAAAAUAAAUUACCAAAUUAGCUGGGGAUGGUGGUACAUGCCUAUAGGCCCAGCUACUCGGGAGGCUGAGACAGGAGGAUUGUUUGAGCCCAGGUGUUCAAGGCUGCAGUGAGCUCUGAUCACCACUGCCUUCCAGCUUGGGUGGCAGAGCAAGACGCUGUCUGAAAAAAUAAAACUGAUGGACAAGAAGAGACAACACAAUGUAGCCUCUAGGACAGAGCACUGAGCUAAAUGCUUUUUUUUCUUGAGGCUUCAGUUUUCCUGAUCAUCCUAC
rnacentral:sRNA from 1 species